CAUAAUAUACAGACACACUGAAAGAGUCCAUCUGCCAAAUAACAGCAGCAUGUUUAACAUGGCCUCAGCAUGCUAACACUGCCCCAUGAUUAGCUCCUCUCUCCACUCUCCACCGUACAGUCACCACCACAGCAAGUUAGCCCCGAUAGUCCCCCUUUAUUCUGGCAGCUAAUGUCAUUAAAUUUACACUUUCCCAUGCGCACAUGUGGUCCGACUGCUACAUUAGCGAUGUGCAUCUGCGGAGUCACGCCACAAACACAUCACUGUGUUGUUGGUUCCGCUCCAGUGAUUGCAUGAUUUUACUGCUAUUCGCAUUUUUUUUUUAAGGAAUAAAUGUUACCUAUUAUUUUUAAGUUUGAGACUAAUUAAAAUCAUAACAUCCUACUUAGCAUUUGUUGAAAAAUUUAAGACAUUUUAAUGCCAAUUAAGGCCUUAUUUAUAGAUUAAUGAAUUCAAUGACUUUUAAGACUUUUCAAGGAUCCACGGGACAACAAUGAAACGACACAAUGUUACGGUACAAGCAAUGCUUAUUUAACGCUAACAAACUCAGACUUGUUCGUUCGUUAAUAUAUCACACAGUCUUACCGCAGUCAACAACAACGGAAACGCUACUACAGACAUAGCAGUUUAAAGCAUAGCAUAGCAGUUUACCAUAAUUUCCUUUGUUCUUUCAGUUCAUCAUGAUAACCAAGCUGUAAAUGUUCAGAAAUCAGGACACCUUAUUGUAAUGGCAAAGGUAAGACAUACCUAUAAUGUUAGCAUCAUAGCUAUGCAUUAGCUAGUCACUGCUGCCAUAGCAUAAUGUAUUAUGGCAGCAGCAGAUAAUGUAUAACCAGACCUGUGAAAGGCUAGCUAGCUGUAUAUACUUUAACCUGUUUCCCCUAGGAUGCAAACCCAAAUUGAUUACACAGUCAUGCCAUCCAGCUAGCAUUUGGUGGUGCUACAACUAUCGCUUAAAUCAGUGCCUGCACUAUCUGUAAUUUCAGGUCCAUCAGAGUCAGACUCUGUCUGCAACUCAACUGAAACCAUAGUCCUGCAUGAAAUGUCCGUCAUGGCACCCAUAUAUCGAUCGAGUGGAACGUCAUGUCAACAUAUGAGUGUCUUGCUCAUAUAAUCUUGCUAGUUCAGUGUUAUCUAUCUAUCGAUCUACCAUUUUGCUUGUUGGAGGUCAACAGUUUGAUGGACCUUGUUUACAUAGUAACAGUUGAUGAGAUGCUGCUGAUUUUCCACCUCUGGUUCCUGGCGGCACCAGGAUGGACAUCUCCACUGGACUAUCGCUCUGUAUCGACCAUCCAUCUGGUGGUCAGUCGCCUCCACCCUGUGCAGGUUGCUCAAGGAAGCUGUCCUUGAGCAACCUGCACAGGGUCUCUGGCCACACUUGCCGGGAGCCAGUAGAGGAUUAUCCCCACUGAAUACGUCUGCUCCACCUCGGCCAGGGACCAUGGUAACUUUGGGCAGCCAGGAUACAGGGGUCCUCGCUAGUUGUAGGAACCAGGAACCAGGAACCAGGAACCAGGAACCAGCAGUUGGAGGUCGUCAAACAGGACUUAAUUUCCUAAUUAAUCACCUGCUGGAUAUGGGGAAGCUGCUGACCAUCUCUGGACUGCUGCCCCCACUUCAUUACAGUAUUUUUCACAUGUGUAGCUGCAUAUGCCAGCUGCACACGUGACUAAAGGGCUACUUCCUGAUUAAAGGUAUCCCACUUGUAGACAAUUUUAAACAGGCCCAUCCUUUUUUAACGGGACAGCCUCCACCCAAACCAGGAGGGUUCACAGCUUUUAUCCAUCAACAUCGACCUGACUGUCCACUCCACCUCCUGACUCAACUGCACAUACAGACCCGGACCCUCUGUCCAUCAUUCACCUCCGCUCUUCCCUACUUCAUCCACACACACUAUACGCAACCCCCUCACCAGUGGCCGCAGAAGCACCGGACAAUAUCCACACAAUCCAAACAAUCAUUACACAUAGAUGAAUGAGACCCAGGACUGUUUUAGGACCAAAUAGUGUUUUUAACAUUCCGCUAAAGUGACAUGAUGAGUGCAAACUUUAAAAUGGCUGUGCGAAUGUACGCCAGUGAACAAAUCGUUUAUUAUGUAUGAUGUAAUUUUAGACAAUAACUUGAACUGCAUUCUUCUCACAGAGUCAUGGUUGGCACUGAUGCACCUGUUGUUCUCACUGAGGCUUCCCCACCAAAUUUUAAUUUUUUAUUUUCCACCAGGGGUGAAAGGAGGAGGGACGGGAAGUUCUUUUAAACAACUACACCUCAUUUGAGUACCAUGCCUUUGUUUUUGGCAGCACACCUAUCGUCUCCGUCUCAGUCUACAGAACCCCCAUUAUUGCCCCUCUUUUAUCAGCAUGCAUCCAUGCAUCAUAUAACAGAAUUUUAAUAACUGGCGAUUUUCAUUUACACGUUGAUGUCUACUUGGACUCUAUGUCCAGAGGACUUUUAAACAUUUUACAUUGCCUUGAUUUUACGCAACAUGUUAUGCAGCUGACCCAUGGCAGAUCUAGAAAUCAUUUCAGAUCAGUCUGUGUCUGACCACUCGUGUUUUUUAAUAUCACUAAUUUUAACCAGUAGGUGGCCCUGGUGAGGAAACGCUGUAUAGUCCUGAAGUGACUGCAGAUUUUAUCCAGGUUUUAUGGAGCACUCCUGCAGAGAUCUUACCAGCGCCCUGUGAUUUUAUUGUUGACGAUUUUAACUGCAAACUGAAGUCGGUGCUGGACACAGUUAACCAAAACAAUAAAAACAAGACCCACACCAGUGUUGGGAAAUGGAGAAAUUAAACAUUUAAAAAGAAACUGCAGAAGUGCUGAGAGGAGAUAGAGGAAAACAAAGCUAACUGUUCAUUAUGAAAUACUAUGGGAACACCUCAAAACUUACAAUAACACAGUCAAAGAAGCAAGAAUUUCCCACUUCCUUAAAGAAAUUACAGAAUAUAAAAACAAAUUCCUCUUCUCCACAAUCGUCCCUAUAAUAAACACAAAUUUUAAUAGAUCCUCCAAAAUACCUAAUGAGACCCUUUGUGAGGACUUCGCAGACCACUUAAGAAGCAAAAUCAAUGACAUCAGGUCAAAUCUUUUAUCUCAACGGAUUUCAACUGUCGACGGACCUGGAUCAUUGAUUUUACCCAAGGAAACACUGGAGAGUUUAGCCCUGGUUGAUGCGAGGACGCUUGGUUGAGUUUUCUCCCAAGUAAAGCCCACAACCAAGCUUUUAGACCCAAUUCUCACACCAUUUUAUUUUAUUUAUUUAUUUUUUUAUUUUAAAACAUUUUAUGGAUUCUUUGAGGAACAGCUGCUAUACAUGGUGAUCUGCUCCCUUCAGACGGGUGUCUUCCCCGCCUCCUUUAAGGCGGCGGUGGAGACAUUUGAUGACAUUUUCAUUUAACAUUUUAUCAUGGUUCAUUUAUUUACUUUUAUAACCUAUUCUUACUGGUUAAAGGAUGUUUUAACUUAUUUUAGUUUUAUUUAUUUUUUAUCUACUUAUUUUAAUUUCUUAACACAUCUUACUGUUUUAGUCUUUUAGUUUAGUAGGCUUGCCACGCUUAUGGCUGUUCCUGUCUGCCUGUGGGGGUGCCGUCCCUUAGGUUCCUUUAGCCUGGGUGGUUAGAUGCUCUACACUGAGGUGUGGGGCCUGCCUUUCUUCCAGGGCUGGGCAAUCUUUGCAGUAGUGCCCCUAUAGUCAAGGGGCUGGGAACAUUUCUUUUCUCAAAAUAUGUUACACUCUUGAAAAACUCCUAAUUUGGAUGAUGUUUUCUUCUCAAAUCUUGAUUAAUCAUCAAUAGAAUGUUUCCCCAAUAAAAUAUUAGCCUGUGUGCAAGCCUAAGCUGUAUUUGCCCUACCAGCAAAAAAACAGACACAUGAAAAUAUGUCUUUAAUUUAAUUCUGGCUUGUGUUUUGCUGAAGCAGAACUUGCACCCUCCCAGCCAGGUACUGGGUGCACAAUUAUCUGUUCUUGUCACAUGGCCAAUUGGGAUAAUUCAAUCUGAACUUGACACUAAACUUGACAUUGCAUCCAUGGUUAAUAUUGUCUUAAACAGUAUAAAAAAAUAGUAUUGGUAUUGCUGAGUCACAGGAAAGUUCGAAUGUUUUUUGCUUUGGUUAUCAGGGUGCGCAGAGAAUUCAGUUUUACCAUUGUAAUCUGUUAUGUCCUCAGUUGUCUUGACACUCCUUUAUGUGUUCCACAAAAAGCAAAUCGGAAAUGGAUGGAAACACAAAUAAUUUCCACAUUUGAUUUUGUGUAUGCUAGCAGCAUCACCCUCAAAUGUUGAGGCUACAACAUCUAAGAUUCUACUAUGGCUACUAUUGAUUAUUAAUCAUUAAUGUAAAAAAAUCUUAACUAGAGCACUCCCUGAGCUUGAGCUUGAAUCAGUCAUGGCCUAAUGUAUCAUGUCCCACUGAUACUUCACAGUUUUGCUUUUGUAAUCUACUGUUUCCUCAGCUGUCACGACACUCCUUUAUUAUGUCUUCUAUUUUCCUUUUCUUUUUUUUAAUCCAGACAUGUCCUUCAGAAAACAUUACAAUGCAUGGAGAGCAAAUAAGAGAUGGGUAAACAACCUACAGACAACCCACUAGGGAAAGACACACACUCACAAGCAAUCGGGAAAAUAUAUAUUCCCUCAAACACAUACUGUCUCUUUAUGAUUUGUGUGUGUCUUUGAACUAGUCUGUCAAUCAAUCACACACUAAUUCCCAAGGUUCUGUGGUUGCCAUUAGCGACGUGGGUCAAUACUCAGUAACCGUGGACAAAGCGGACAUCCAUUGAUCUGUGAGAGAGGACAGUGUGUGUGUUUGAUAGUCAUGAUGGUGAACAGUAUUGUGGCUCUGUCCUCGCUAUUGAUUGACUUCUGGUUGCAUUGAGGCAAAGCGGGCAUUCUUGAAUCUGUGUCCAAGUGUGUGUGUACAAAUGUGUGUACAUGAUGAUCAAGCACAUACUGUAAUGUGUGCAUCCACCCAUGUGUAUUUCCUGUAUAUGCAACUUUGUGUGUGUGUAUACUGUACAUGUAGAACUGUGCAUCAAGAUGUUCCUGUAAUCAAUGUAUAAAUGCAGACUCUGUUUUCCGUUUCAUCCUGCCUUCCCUUACCUCUUUCCUUUUUCUAUAACUAAAUGUAUAUAUACACCUUGGACUUAGUUUAUACUCUGAAUCUGGGGCCUCAUUUAUCAACCGUGCUUAUGCACAGAUCUGUGCGUAAAGAGAGCAUAAGCACAUUCCAACGCAAAAUAUGGCAUUUAUCAAUUUGUACUGCUUAGAAAAGUGUGCAAAUUUAUGCACAACUCUGAUCAUGCGUACACACAAAAUCUAGUGGUAGAACAGUAGAACUACACUAGUACCCAUUAAGAGAGUCGCAGUGUUAAGCAACCUUAAACUUCACACGUUAACACAUAUUGCCAGUCUCUUAUAAUAAUAUUAAAUCGGUAGUUUAGUAGACACUUUGAAUAAUUGGCAUGACAAGCUAUAAAAGACAAUCUGAAAAGAAAAGUUGAAGUACAAUGCUAUUGAUUAUCUGGAGGAUUUUGAGAACCGUGCGUUUUCAAAUAGCGUUAAUUAAUCUGAUCUGUCUAAUACCGCAUCCCCAUAAACAUACUGAUGGAUUUAUGCCAUAUCAAAGCCAACCCAGUGCACUCCUGUGCACCCUGGGAUGUUUGACCACCGGAAAAUUUUAGUGUGAGUUUGGAGUAAAUGUGGCAUUUCACAGCCGACACUAAGCAAAAUCAGCCUGGCAGUGUUGGAUGAAAUGAGGCUCCUGGACAUUGAUCUCCAGCCACUGAUCACAGCUGUAUCCCUUUUAAUCUGCCUGUUACUUCUGAUUGUGCAUCCAAUAAUCAUAUGAAAUUGUCCUGCAUGUUAAACAACCUCUCUGCUGAGAAAUUUUCAACUGCUUUUGACAGCGUGACACAGCACUAGUGUUGAUGUUGAUUCUCAAGUUUCAGUCUUUAACUUACAAUACUCUGUCAUUCUUCAUUUUGCAAAUCUUAUUGCUGAAACAAGUGUAUUGUAGAACCCAAAUGCAGCACAAAACAGCGUGGAAUAAUUGGUAAUAAACUUUUUUGAGUCUUCAGCAGGAAUAGGGUUGAGCAGAGGAUUACAUAAUUAUUUAGCAGGUGCAGGAGUUUAACAGUCUCUGAAGAAAACAGAGGUGAUGGUGCUCCUUCUAUUGACUUGGGCCCCUUGGCAUUCUAUGUGAAGCCAGUAGUCUCAAAUUUGGGUUUUAAGAUGGACAGUGAUUUUAAAUUGGAUCGCUUAAUUGGUGCAGUAGUAAAGUCCAUCUUUUGUCACAUAAGGCAGCUGUCAAAGGUGAAGCCUUUUCUUGCACAUUGGCACUUUGAGACAAUAAUCCAUCCAUCAUUACAUCUCAACUGGAUCACUGUAACACGCUUUAUUUUGGGGUCAGUCAGUCCUCCCUCGCAUGCCUCCAGUUGGUCCAGAAUGCGGCAGCUCUUCUCUUAACCAGAACAUGUAAGAGCACACAAACCCCGUUCUGGCCUCUCUCCACUGCCUGCCUGUGCACUUUAGGGUCCAUUUUAAGAUUCUUUUUGCUUUUAAAUCUUUAAAUGGUCUCGCCCUGCCUUACCUCCCUGAGCUUCUUCAUCCCUAAACUUCUGCUUGGUAUCUCAGGUCACAUGAUCAGCUGCUCCUGGAGGUGCCGAGGUCCAUGCAGAAACUCAGAUGGGACAGAGCUUUUUCUGUUGCUGCUCCUAAACUGUGGAACAAUCUACCACUGUGCAUCAGACAAGCCCCCUCACUGUGCAUUUUUAUAACUCGUCUUAAAACCCAUUUUUAUUCCAUGGCAUUCAAACCAGCAUGAGUCUUAUUAUUAUUUUCUAUUGUUUGUAUUAUAGUUUUUAUUGUUUUAAUGAUUUUUAUUGUUUUUUUGCUCUUAUUUUAUCCAUGUACAGCACUUUGUCUUGGCUGUUGCCAUUGUUUAAAGCGCUAUAUAAAUAAAGUUGAGUUGAGUUGAGAGGUUCUUGAGGUAACAUUAACAGAGUCCAGAGUGCAGAGUUCAAUGUUACCAAUGGGAGGCAGGUAGGAAGCAUGGUCAGGCAGGCGGGAGGUCCAAAACUGGGCGUAACUAAGGCAGAGUGGAAAACCAGAGCGGAGCUGGCAGUUGGCAACAGGUGAUCAAACUGGCAUAGAGUUAUUGUGUGGGAGGUGAAGAACAGUGUGGCAAAGUGUGGCUGAGGGGCUGGAGCUUAAAUGCGAGGCUCAUUACAGAUGGGGAACAUCCGUGAGAACAGGUGGACUGAGUUGGCUGAUGAGGAUGUGGCUGGCAGGUAGAUUGGGGUGGAGGCAGCGUAAAUAGAAAAAUCGCAGAUCAGCAGAGAUGUGACAAUUGUGACGAAAGUUUUAAUUGUUGGUACUGAAAGCUGGGCCUCUGUCACCUGUUUAGUUGCUUUUUCUGCUAAUGUGCACAGCAGCUCAAGAAACCUUGGGGUUACUUUUGACCGGACCAUGCUCUUCACUGUAAAAAAUAUCCGUAAAUUUUACACUUAAAGAGAGUAAACCAUUUAACCAACAGUUAAAAACCGUAAAUUGUAAAUCAGGUUUCAACAGUUUCUUUAACAAGUAAUUACCAUAAAUAAGUUAAUUAGGAAAAAGUGUAAUUUACUGGUUUUCUCCAGAAUAUAUACAUUGUCCUGCUGUAAGAAAAAAUCUUGUACUACUUUUAACAGUAAUAUACUGUAAUUGUUCUAGAAGCACAUACUGUAAUUUUGGCACUUAUUUUUCCUAAAGAAUACAAUUUGUAACUGUUAAUGUGCAUACAGUUGGGGAAAUUAGAAAAAUACACUGUAAUUUUUCUAGCAGUGUGUACUGUAAUUUUUGUAUUUAAUUCUCCUAAAUAAUGCAGUUAGUAAAUGUUAAAUAUGCAUACUGUUAUAGCAAUUGCAGAAAUAUGCUGCAGGGAUUUGAAUAGUCAGUACUGUAAUUUUCGGGUUUAAUUCUUGUAAAGAUUCUUGUAAAUGUACAUACUCUCAUUGUGAUAACAGAAAUACGCUGCAAAUAGUUGAUAGUAGUUGAUAUUUGGAAUCCUUGCAUACUUUCUCUUAAAAAAAUAAAGUCUUUAACUGUAAAAUGUACACAUGAUUAUGGCAAAAAAUAUAUACUGUAAAUUGGCUUGUUGCCAACACUGGAAUUUUUUUCACUAAGUAACAAAUAAAAUAAAAGAGUAAUCUGCACUCAGCAACUGAAAAACGUUUUAGAGAUGUUUGUAGCCUACUGUAAUAUAAUUUAUUUGGUUUAAUAAAAGUCACGUCAGUCACAUUCAAGUUAAGUAGUAAGUAGACCUGACAGUCGAGAAGCGCAUACUGUUGUGCCCCACACAUGCCCCUGGCAGCAGCAGCCAGUCUUAAUUAAUGGCCCAUCAAGGGCCCCCCUGCACCUGGUCUGCUCGUACAUGCGCAGUGGAACUCUGGCGGGAUUUUGGAGGCGGUGGAUUUGAACGGGCCAAUCAACACGCUGCACCUCGAUUGAUGUUUUUUUUUUCAGCUGUCCACUGACCGCUCAGUUUGUGCAGAGACAGACUUCUCAACCAACCUUCUCCAUCAGAGCUGCUCUCUUUCUCAGAUAUGAUGGAUGCACAAAAGGACAUCCGUGAUGCCAUAGGAGCAGCGUUUCCAGGUGUUUCACCUGAGGUUGUGGCUGCUGUAGAGGAUGCUUUGGAGAAACUCGGCACUACAACCACAGAUGAUUUACGGUAUAUCACUGAAGGAGACUUAUUGCCUGUACUGAAGCCCAUACAGGCCAGAAGGCUGGUUUCUACGUGGGCCCAAAAUAGACAACAAUGUACAGCUUCUCAUUUACACCUGGUAGUUCCUGGGCAGGAAGCAGACAACAGUCUGUUAGAAAAGGAAACACUACCGCAACAGUUACCUAACAUUACACAGACUCAUUGGCUUCAACUUCAGGCGUGGCAUCCUCUUCCCCACAGUCCGUUCAGUCCUCUCAAUCUGCAGCCUCUUUCACCACCAUCGUCUACUGCUACCUCAUCACCUUCACCAAGCUGCACCCCAUUUUUGCCAACCUGGUAGACAGUUUUCAGAUACCUUGGCUGAAUCUCCCGGAAGAGUUAAUGCAGACUUUGGAAAGACAGAGAAGGCCAAGUCCACGACUACGAAGAGAAAUGGUGAGGAUUAUUGUUUCUGAAAUGAUGAAGAUUUGCAAGAGUCCCACCAAAUGCAACACUACUGAAAUAGCAGAAAGGAUGGUGAGCAGAUAUCAAAAGUGACUUAAGGAUGUAAUUGAUGGUGAUGUUAUUGGACUUGGAUAUCAUUCCCUGGUAAAGCAACUCCAGGCAAGAAUUGAAAAUGUCAGACGACCAGACACGCCAAAGAUAAUUAAACGCAAGGCAGAAUCAGACAACGAAACUGAUGGGAUACCUGCUGAACAGAAAGCCAGUGUUCAAGACACGUAUGGCUGUUUCAACUGGGAGCCAAAGUUUUUGCCCCUUCCUGAGACUAGUCAGCUUAAGAAAAAAGAAGUUAUGAAGAAGAUUUUCAAAGACAAAAAUUACGCUGCAGAAGAUGUGAAAGAACUUGUCCAGUCCACCUAUUACACACAGUGUAAAGACAUCAACAAAGGUACAAGCGUCCUGAAGCUAUGCCAAGAAUGGCCUUUUCUGUUCCAUGAAGCUGGUAUGGCAGGACACUUCCAGCAACUUGCUGGCAUCAAUCUGACUGAGGCCUUCUUUACCAAUCUGGACAAAAAGGGGGAACGCCUCUUAAACUUCAAAACUGUUUCUGUCCGGAAACAAAAACAAGUGCUGGAGUCUCUCCUCAAGUUACAAACUGAAAAAGGGUCCUCUUGCUUCACUGCUGACUGCUUCAUGUUGAGCAUUGAUCAGAAGAUUGUCAGCGACCACAUCACUGCCUUCUCCUGUCCCAUCUGCCUGAUGUUUGGCACUUACUAUUGUUUCAACAUACACUACCCAGUGGGACGGAGAUUAACACUGGAGUUCCUCCAGAGGUGUUUCUUUUCAAUAAAUCCAGAGAGAGGAACAAAAGUUGAGCACAGCAAGAAGAGGAAGGUCUUUGCUGUCAACCCAAGAGUCCUCACACUCAUCGCAGACCUUGCAGACCAUGAGUGGACUUAGACCAUACUUCAUGAGGCAUGUGAUGUGAGGUGUAAUGUUGUUGUAAUGUUGCAGUAUGUUAAAAACUGUGUUUUAUUGGUAUUCUGAGUAUACACAGUGUAAGAUGUGGCCCUUUUUUCCUCAUCCAUGCCCAGCCUUGGACAUAAGGUGAAUGGUUGUUUAGGUUGAAGACUGGUUGAUGUUUUGACUUUUUUAUUUUUAUUUAUUUUUUUUAUAAAUAGCAGAUAAUACUGAUAACACUACAGCAUAAAGCAGGGUCCUGGUUUUGUGCUGCACCACUGUCACAGCUUAAGGAACCUGUGGUGAUUUUACUGCUACAAGUCUGAAGAUCUGAACAGCAAGAACAGUCAGUAGCAUUUUAACUUUCUCUUUAUUUCAGAAAAGAUACAGUGGUGCCCAGCACAUCUGUUAGAAAGUUCUUAAGACUGUAUUUAUGUCAAUUUCAUGUGACCUGUGGAAUAUUCAUCUGACACACACACACACACACACACACACACACACACACAGAAAGAGAGCACUGGAGAAGAAAUGUGUCACAUCAGUUCCAUACUUUGCACUGGUAUGAAUGCUUAAUGUAGCAUUUGCAUGUGUUCCGAGUUCUGUGUAUUCAGAGUGUACACAGUGUUGUGAGAAGUUUGUACAGCCUCACAAAUUUUUGAAAUGGAAAAAGUUAGGUUUUUGGAUGUUUUAUAGUUUUCCAUGUUCCCAAUGUUAGACAAAACUGGUAAUACAUUAUUUUUCUGCUCUAAUCAAUUGACAUUUUUACCAAGUAAAUUUGCACUUUCUCAAACUUAAAUUUUCUUAUGUUUUAAUGUUAAUUUUUAAGCAAAAGAAGUUUUUUUUUUUUUUUUUCUUUCCCCCUGGGGUAAAAGCGUGUAAUUUUACGGAACAUUAUGGAUUCAAACACAAUAAUUAACCGUAAAAUCAGCAAUAUUGGUGCUCUUUCACUGUAAGUGUGUGCGUGUGUGCAUGUGUGUGUGUGUGCGUGUGCGUGCGUGCGCGCGCGCGCGCAUACACACCCAUCAUUUUUAUGGUAAAGUUCUGGCAACUGCAGCUGCCAGUUUUUUAGUUUAAAAAUACAGACAAAACCUGUAUUUAUACAGUAAUUUAGGGACAUGUUAACAUGGUGAAUAUGUAUUUUAUAAUUUUACUGUUAAUUUUGCAGUAAAAUAUUUUCAUAUUUUAUGGCACAAACAGUAUUUUAUAUAUAAUUUUAAUGUAGGACAAAAUGUGAUGUUUUCAAUGGUAAAAACAGUAACCACUAAUCUACCGUAAUUGUAAAAAAUGUCUUACUGUAAUUUUAAAAGUGAAGUUCUGGUAACCAGUGUUUCAUGAGCACAUAAAAACUGUUGAUUAGUGUAAUUCCCUCUUCACCUGCCUCAGUAAAGCCUCAUUAGGCCGCCUUCAGUUAAUCCAGAGCGCUGCCGCCCGACUUAUGUCCAGAUCCCACAAAUUCUCUCACAUCAGUCCCGUCUUAGCAUCCCUGCACUGGUUCCCCGUAAAUUUCAGGAUCCGAUACAAAAUCCUCACCCUUGCAGCCCUCAAUGAUCAGGCUGCUCCAUAUUUAGCUGAUGUCCUCUCUUGCUAUCACCCUGUGAAUUACUAUGAUCUGCUGAAUGCCUACAACUUUGAGCAUCCACUUCUGCUGAAACUUUUAAAAACACAUCUGUGUAGGCAUGCAUUUGAGCAAGCCUGAUGGUUUUUGUAUUGUUUUGCUGCAUUUCAUGAAAUGUGUUGCUCCUUUUAUUUGAUACUUAUAUAUUAAUUGUAUGCUGUGUGAAACUUUCUACCUUAUGUAUUUAUCUGUUUUAUACUGUGAAGCACUUUGUGAGUCUUCUCUGUGACAAGUGCUAUAUAAAUAUAAUGUACUUAUUUACUAAUAUUUAAAACAUUUUUUUGAAUGGCAUGCUAUCUACCCACUCUAUUGCGAUCUUCCAAUUGAUCAUGAUGGACAUAUUGCACAGUCCUUCCCAUAUUUGUGUAAAAUUAGCCCACAAUAAUGUAAAUAAAACAUUAAGCUGCAGCUUAGAAGCUUUAAAAAGGUAAACAUAAACACUAACUUACCACAGGGGUCACACACUCAAGAAGCAGUCUGCAGGUAAAGGCGAGGGCUAUAGACAUGGAUGUAACACAUAUUUUAGUUGACAAAUUAUAAAAAGCUUUUUAAAAUAUGAUGUUAAAGUAUCAUCUCGAACUCCAAGAUAACUGCAACAAAAUAAACAAAUAUAAAAUCUAAAUAAAAAUUAAAUUAAG